AUAUAAUAAAUGUUGUAAAUGAUAGAAAAAAAAAUUGAAAGAACGUUUUUCUGAAGAGUUUAUAUACCUUGUAUACAAACAUCUUUUAAUAAAAAAAACAAAUAAUUCAUAUUAAUGGUGACAUAGACUGCACCCAAAACCGCAGCGCAACAGUGCUGUAACAGUAUUAAAAUCUUUACAUAUACAUAUGUAUCUAUGUAUUUUUGUUACUAUUCGAACCGUAUCGCACUUUUUCGUAAAACGCAGUUACUAGUCAGAAAUUAAAAAUAUAUAAUUUUAAAUGAAAGCAA
rnacentral:sRNA from 1 species